UGAGUAUGGGCUCUUACACGCUGAUAAAUACUAUUGUUAUCAUCGGAAUCCGAUUACGUUAUGUGACGAGGCAAAGCACAGGUUUGGCUGAUUUCGAUAUCCCCUUGGCCAUCAAAAAAGCAAAUCAUAUAAUAUGUAACCACAAUUAAUUUUUUGAGGAAAUUCUCUUACCUUUUGACAAAGUGGUCAUAUUGAUAUACUGUUCUGCUCGAGAUUUUUCAUGCACAGAUACCAUUCAUGAAUUGAGCGAUUUCACAUUAGGCAACGACUUUGUGGUACUACUAUCAUUUGCAACAAUUGCUGUGUGGUUCUAUUAUCACUGAGAGAUGAUAGUGGGACACUUUUUAAAUAUAAUGUGGGGAAACCAAAAUUACAGGAGGAUUUUGGGAGUUGGAUCUUCAACCAUUGCUCAGAUUGACCAAGCCAAAUUGGACAAACAAAAAUAUAAUCGUGGCAGCAGAGUUGUAAGUCAUUGAAUUUUGGGUCUGGUAAAUACCACCCUGCCCGAAAAAAAGAAAAAAGAAACGGAUGGUAUUAGUGUUAAAUGCUAAGGAGACAACAUUAGUUUUAGCAAUAAAAGGAAAUGUCGUCAAUAGUGAAAUCUA